GUUUCAGAAAUGUUGCCUUAGUACAUGCAAAGUUAAAACACUCCUAUAUGUAUAUUCAUGUGGUCGUGUGAGCAAUUACAGAAUGGUUAGAGUGAUAAGCUUCAGAAAGUUAGGCAGUCUUGAAGUUCUCUGCCUAGCUCCACAUUCCUCCUCCUCCAACAGCACUGCACGCUGAAAACUUGCGAAAGGGAACAAACUACAGGUCAUGAUCACCUGGUCAUUGAAAACUCCAUGCUGAAGAGGUGAUGUAAGCAUAGGACACAUGCUACAGCAACAAGGUAAGAACACUUCCCACAUAGCAGCAGCAGCACAGACCUGUGGAAAGAACAGCAUUUGUGCACACUCCCGAAUGCAAGCAAAAUACUACAAAGGCAGCCGCUGGGAGAGAAGGCGAUCAACGAAAUUAAGACUGUCUACGCAAAUGCAACACAGUGAGGACAGGGCUCCAAAGAAAAUCCUUGCUUGCAGAUCACUGACCGGCACUGACCCUGGAGGAAAAAAGUGCUCUUCCCAUACUGCUCCUGGAUGACAGCCAGGAGUGCACUGGCAGCAACUACAGAAGCUGAGUGGGGUUUGACAUGAGGUAAAUCUACAAACUGAUCUACAAAGACCUAAGUGGUUAAGAACCAGGAAGUUACCAUCUCUGAGUUGUCACAGAAGUUGGUCAUCUACCAGUUUUAAGAUUAGGCAGUCAGGUGCUUGGUGAGAAGACAUUCUUCACAGAGGAGUUCGCUACAUCUGGUCCAGCACUGCUUUAACUUGUUAACCUUUAGGGCACAAUUCAAGACUUAUUUCUUUUUUCAGGCUUUUGUCUAUAGGUGAGCAGAGGGUAGCCUACUCUGGGACUAGUCCUUCGCAUGACUAGUAUGCACAGAGAUGUCCAAUUGAACGUAUUUUAGUAAGUAAAGAGUCAGUGCAUGGUGGAGUCUUCCCCCUUCAACACAUUUUCUGCAGCUUCCAAAAUAAAAAUGUAAGCAACAGCCUCCUCUAUAAAAUCAUGACAAUAAUCCCAUACAGUACACAGAUUAGAUAAAUAAACAUAAUCCACUAUAAAAAGGUUUGGACAUCACAGAUUCAGUCUUUUGCAAAUACCUGUGCAAGGAGGCUUCUGGCCUAGAUAUUUACUAGCAAAAAGUUUGCCAAAAUUGAUGUUAUGACAAAUAUUUACUUCAUAUGAAAAGCCCUAUGUCUCAAUUUAGA